rnacentral:pre_miRNA from 1 species
GAGAAUUUGGCAGAUGAAUUUGAGUGUUGGAUGGGACCAAAUCUUACCGCAGGGUGAUACAAGAUUUGGUUUCCUCCAAUGUCUCAUGUUCAUGUGUCAGAUGCUG